UAUUAUAGCUGCAUGUGUGAACCGAGGGAGUGUGCGCUGGCACUGUUGUGAGAGACUGUUUGGUCAUUUGGUGGGUUCUCAGGACAGGCUUUCCUAGGUGAGUUAGAAAUAAUUGAUGGAGAUUAAUGAGGUACCAUUUGGUGUGUCGGAGAUUAAUGAGGUACCAUUUGGUGCGUCAGAGAUUAAUGAGGUACCAUUUGGUGCGUCAGAGAUUAAUGAGGUACCAUUUCGUGUUGCAGAGAUGACUGAUGUGUCGGCAUGAUCGGUCGAUGACGCUUGUCCGAUGUCAUUUCGUCUCUGCACACUGUUGUGUUGGCGAGACAUCUAAUGAUCUAUACAGGAGUACAUUCAUUAUGUAGAAUAGUGGGCAUUAGCUAUGAUAAUAACGCUGUUCUUUCCUUCUUUUUCUAUCUUGCAAAAUGAUGAAUAUCUUGUCCACUUGUCUUUUGAAUAGAUUUCUUCGAAUUGAUGACAUGAUGAUUUGUGCCCUACUUUAGUGUUACUCAAUUACUCCUUGCGGUGUGAGGAUCUUUCCUCUCUUUAUCCUCAUGAGCUUUGCGCUAUCUUGUGUUAAUUCCAUGUUUCCAAUAUAUUAAGGUAAACCACUUUUGAUAUUGCUGGAUUCCAGUUGUGGAAAAAGGGUGGUGCAAAAUGAGGCUGAAAUUCUACUACAGAAAGCGAGCAUUAAUCGCAAUGAUUUUGACCUUUAGUUUAAGUAGGGAAGAUUUUUCUCUAACUUUGACAGCCAGCUGUGACAAAAACUGCCAUAAAAUAAGUGAGAAAUAAAAUAGUGGUAGGUGUAAGUGUUAAUACAGGAUAGCUCUUGGCUCACUCACACUAUGUGGACCUCCUCCUUUGUAGACUACUUGAGCUUUGGGGUUGCUGUUUUUCUUCACUGUUUCUAUAUAACAUAUAUACAUCUCCUUGACAUAAUUUUUGUGGUCAUUAUCUGCUCUCAUCAUAUAUCUGUCCCCGUCGUUUUGUGCCAGAAAAAUUCUGAAAUUAUGCAAAAUGAGCGAAAAAAUUUGAAAUUAUGCGAUUCUGUUAAUUUUAACAAAGAAUGGUAAAAAAAAAUAAUCAGAAAUUA